ACAAUUAACGUCAUAAACCGGGUCGCACUAAAACUCCGCCAUGAAAACAAGAAAGAAAAGACCAUUUGACUUUUGGAAAGGUGUUUUAAAGUUGUCGGAUGUUAGAAAAGAUUUCAAGGUUUUCAAAUAGUAAUUAUAAACAAUGGUCAUGGCGGAUAGACCAACGAAGACCCCAGUUCGGGUGGGAUUUUACGAUAUCGAAAGAACAAUCGGGAAAGGAAACUUUGCAGUUGUGAAAUUAGGAAGGCAUAGGAUUACCAAAACCGAGGUAACAUUUUUAGAAUCUAUUGUACUUUAAAUUUUAUGCAAAGUAUCAGAUGUUGUCUCUCGGUGCAUUAUGUAAUGUGCAGCAUGCACGCAUUGAUAAUUGGGUCAGUAAGGUGACAGGCGAUCCACGCACCUGUCUCGCUGACCAGUGCAACUCUUGGCCCCGGGGCACACUUUUUACAUGUGCAAGCUAAGGCUUUAUUGUUUGGAAUCUUGUUACAUUCCUCCAGAACAGACUACGUGCCUUCGUCAUCCACACUUCCUGUUUGCACAUUCUUUUGAGAAAUACACACAACGUGGAUUCACAUUGCGCGUUUAAAUGCAUUGUUCACAAACAUCACUAUAGCUGUGUCUAUCAGAAGAUAUCUACAAAUGUUUCAGUGAACAUAGAGAAUUUGUAUUAACUUAGCUAUUAUAACGAGUAAAUGCCAUUGUUGUUAAACUUUACAAACUUUAAAAAGUUCUCAUUGUACAAUGUUUUGACAAUGGUAUAAAAUUUAUAGAUAUGCACAUGCAUAUUUUUUGUGUGGGGCUUUAUCUGAUAAUUUGUAGACCUAUUAGUUCAAUAUAAAUGAAAAAGUAAUAUAUUAAGACUCAAUGUGCUAUUUUUUCAUGAAACUCAUACCUUAUUAAAUCUAAAACAUAUAAACAAU
rnacentral:misc_RNA from 1 species